GCCGGGACCGGGCGCUGCGGGACGGAGUUUGAGUGCGGGGACGAGACGUGAGAGCCGAGGGGGCAGCGAGUGGCCGCGCUCGGGGGCUGCGGGAGUGUCACCAGCCCGUGGGUCACUCACCAUGCUGUAUCUCUAGCACAGUGAAGCAAUGGAACGUCUAGAGAUGGAACGUCUAGAGAUGGAAGGAAGCCAGAUAAACCUGGACAACCUCGAGAAGGGCAUAGACAACCCUGCUUUCAGCUCCCUGAGUGUGGAGGAGCUCUGUGAGGAACGUGAAGGUCCACAUUGUGGGAAUGAGAAGAAGAGAGGAGAAGAGAAUGGGAGAGUUGCUUCGUACUGCAG
rnacentral:lncRNA from 1 species